AACGCACCUUGCGCCUCUUGGUAUUCCGAGGGGCAUGCCUGUUUGAGUGUCUUAUAAAAUCAAUCCCCACGGGUUUCUGACCUGACGGUGGACUUGGAGUUGGGCGUCUGCCGGUCACACGGCUCGCCUCAAAGACCUUAGUGGGGACAUCGGCCCACGGCUUGACGUAAUAAGUUUCGUCUUGUCCGGCCCCUGUCGUCCGCUCACAACCCGCCCUCGGGCAACUACUUUAUGCUAGACCUCAAAUCAGGUAGGACUACCCGCUGAACUUAA
rnacentral:misc_RNA from 1 species